CAGCAGCCGCGGGAAUACGUAGGGUGCGAGCGUUAAUCGGAAUUGCUGGGCGUAAAGCGUGCGCAGGCGGUUUUGUAAGACAGGCGUGAAAUCCCCGGGCUCAACCUGGGAAUGGCGCUUGUGACUGCAAAGCUAGAGUGCGGCAGAGGGGGAUGGAAUUCCGCGUGUAGCAGUGAAAUGCGUAGAUAUGCGGAGGAACACCGAUGGCGAAGGCAAUCCCCUGGGCCUGCACUGACGCUCAUGCACGAAAGCGUGGGGAGCAAACAGGAUUAGAUACCCCUGUAGUCCCUGUCUCUUAUAA
rnacentral:rRNA from 1 species